ACGAAACGCUGGCGGCGUGCUUAAUACAUGCAAGUCGAGCGAGGCUUGUUAGCAAUACAAGCCUUAGCGGCGGACGGGUGAGUAACCGCGUGGGGCAAUCUGCCCCUCUAGCCUGGGAUAACAGUUUCGAAAGGACUGCUAACCACCGGAUUAUGGUGGCAUCCACGGCAUUCGUGAAGCCAUGAAAGUUUACACUAGAGGAUUGAGCCCGCGUCCCAUUAGCUAGUUGGUGAGGGUUUAACGGCCCCACCCAAGGCGACGAUGGGUAGCCGGACCUGAGAGGGUGAACGGCCACAACUGGGACUGAGACACGGCCCAGACUCCUACGGGAGGCAGCAAUAGGGAAUUUUUCCGCAAUGGGCGAAAGCCCUGACGGAGCAACGCCGCGUGAGGGAUGAAGGUCUUCGGAUCGUAAACCUUUGUCUAGAGGGACGAUAAUGACCGGUACCUCUGGAGGAAGCCACGGCUAACUACGUGCCAGCAGCCGCGGUAAUACGUAGGUUGGGCAAGCGUUGUCCGGAAUUACUGGGCGUAAAGGGCGUGUAGGCGGCCUUUUAAGUCAGACGUGAAAACCCUGGGCUUAAACCCAGGACCCUGCGUUUGAUACUGAAGGGCUUGAGGACCGGAGGGGGACAGUGGGAAUUCCCAGUUGUAGCGGUGAAAUGCGUAGAUAUUGGGGAGGAAACAACCAGUGGCGAAGGCGACUGUCUGGACGGCCACCUGACGCUGAGGGCGCGAAAGCCAGGGGAGGCAAAACGGGAUUAGAUACCCCGGUUAGUCCUGCGCUGUUAAACGAUGGGCACUAGGGUGUCGGGAGUAUUGACCCCCUUCCGUGCCGCAGCUAAACCCAAUUAAGUGCCCCGCCUGGGGAGUAACGGUCCGCAAGGAUUGAAAACUCAAAGGAAAUUGACGGGGGCCCGCAACAAAGCGGUGGAGCUAUGUGGUUCUAAUUCGACCGCCAACGCGAAGAAGCCUUACCUGGGCUAGACAAACGGUGGACCGCCCUAGAAAUAGGGUUUUCCCUUCGGGGACUGCCGGUUUCAGGUGCUGCAUGGCCUGUCGUCAGCUCGUGCCGUGAGGUGUUGGGUAUAAGUCCCGCAAACGAGCGCAAACCCUCGUCCCUUAGUUGCCACCAUUCAGUUGGGGCACUCUAGGGAGACUGCCGGCGUUAAGCCGGAGGAAGGUGGGGGGAACGACGUCAAGUCCAUCAUGGCCCUUAUGUCCAGGGCCCACACAACGUGCUACAAUGGGCGGUACAAAGGGUUGCAAACCCGCGAGGGGGAGCUAUUAAUCCCAAAAAAGCCGCUCUCAGUUCGGAUUGGAGUCUGCAACUCGACUCCCAUGAAGUUGGAAUCGCUAGUAAUCGCGGAUCAGCACGCCGCGGUGAAUACGUUUCCCGGGCCUUGUACACACCGGCCCGUCACACCAUGGAAGCCAGCUGUACCGGAAGUCGGUUGCGCCAACCCGCAAGGGGAGGUAGCCGCCUGUGGUUAUGACUGGUUGAACUG
rnacentral:rRNA from 1 species